rnacentral:lncRNA from 1 species
GCCAGCCCCGCGCUCUGCCGGGCAGAGCGCGUGCGGCAGCCGAGCACAUGGGCCCGCGGGCCUGGCGGGCUCGGGGCGGCGGGGACUAAGAGGAGCCGCGAGCGACGAUGAGAUCUCGCAGGUCCCGGAACCCUCCGAGUGGAUUUUCAUGCAAAAAGGAUGAUGGGGGCCUCCGUGACCUGUAAGACCCGGCUGGACCCACCCUCCAAAUCCUGUUACACUUGGGAUUUAGGUGCUUUUAGCCUGAAAAAAGUAUGUGUCCACUAA